GCUGGAGCUGCGGGGUUACCAUGGGAACCGAACCGCCGCGCCUCGCCCAGGACAGUUACACUUAGAGGCCUUCAAAAGAGGGAGAAUGCCCUCCCGAUAAGAACCCAUGCAAAGAGCUGUGCCAGGGCGACGAAUUGUGUCCGGCUGAACAGAAGUGCUGCACCACAGGCUGUGGUCGGAUCUGCCGAGACAUUCCUAAGGGGAGGAAAAGAGAUUGCCCUAGGGUUAUUCGGAAACAAUCCUGUUUGAAAAGGUGCAUCACUGAUGAGACAUGUCCAGGUGUAAAGAAAUGCUGCACGCUUGGCUGCAACAAGAGCUGUGUAGUCCCAAUCUCUAAACAGAAGCUGGCAGAGUUUGGUGGUGAAUGUCCCGCUGACCCCCUUCCAUGUGAGGAGCUGUGUGAUGGGGAUGCAUCCUGUCCCCAGGGGCAUAAAUGCUGCAGCACCGGCUGUGGCCGCACCUGCCUCGGAGACAUUGAGGGAGGGCGGGGCGGUGAUUGUCCAAAAGUUCUGGUGGGCCUGUGCAUUGUUGGCUGUGUGAUGGAUGAGAAUUGUCAAGCUGGAGAAAAAUGUUGCAAGUCAGGCUGUGGCCGCUUCUGUGUCCCACCAGUACUGCCCCCAAAACUGACCAUGAACCCCAACUGGACUGUGAGGUCUGAUUCCGAAUUAGAGAUCCCGGUGCCCUAGCUGUGCUGAUUUGUCUGGAGCUUCUUUGGUAAUUCUGGAAGCUUUUCCUGGCAGUCAAGAGAGGGUGACAUCCUGGGGCUUGUGACAUUUCCAGGGGCACUCAUGGCCCUCUCUGCGCUGCUU
rnacentral:sRNA from 1 species